rnacentral:lncRNA from 1 species
CCCCAUUCAGUCACCCACUCCCACUAGACCAGGGGUGCCCAAACGGUAGAUCCCCAGAUUAAAACUGCAGCUUUCUUUAUGCUGUUAUAAAGGCAUGCAAAUUAUCAUGUGAGUUGUAGUUCUACACCGUCUGGGAUCUACCAUUUUGGCACCCCUGCACUACACAUUUGUAUUUGUUUCAUUCAGCAAACACAUUUCAUCUAAAUUUGGAUGAAUUUUGAAAUUCACAAGUAUUGGUAUCCAUUUAUUUUCAUAUGCAUAGCAAAUUGGGAACUUCUCUAUUAGUCAACCAAAACAUCAAAAUUAGGAAAAGGGCUAUUUUCCCCUUAAUUUUGAACUUUCAACUGUUUGGCAGAUAGCUUUCUAAUUUUGGUAUCCUUAAAAUGGUAAUCCCACAUAAAGGUACCAUUAGGGAGCUAUCUACUAAACGGUUGCUUUAAAGUUCACUUUUUUAACAAAGUUAAAUUUAACUUUGUUAAAAAUCAAAAUCAAUAUAAAUAUGAAUGGAGAACUGACCACCUGACUUUAUGGGGAGUACAGCUUCCUUACCAAAAACUAUGUGAAACUUAGUAAAGAAAUACCAUAUUACAUAAUUGGCAUAAAACAUUUAUAUCUUUGUCUGGAUGAAUAGGCACGGUCAAAAUGAUCAUAGUACAGAAAUUGCAAUAUUUAUUUUGAACAGUUCCCAUUAUUAUUCCACAAUCUUAUUUUCACUUAAUUCAACAAAAUAUAAACUCCUUUGUUUGGUAAGGCAAAAGGUCUAGGAUUGCACUGACUACACUAUAUUUGCCCAUUGAAAAAGGCGGUAGGAGCCUUACAAACAUCCAUUUGCAUUAUAAAGCGGCACUCUUGAAUAGUUUAGUGUCUGCCCCUCAACAACAACAUCUACCGCAGUGGGUGACAAUUGAAAAACAUUACACACUUGGAAUGCACAAUUCAGAUAUAAUGUGGCUGACACCAUUACACAGACCACAGUUUAUUAAUACAUUACCUACUACAAUAGCAUGCUUUGUGCAGUUGCCCCCCUAUCUCUCUAGUUACACCUAUCAGGGCACUAUGGGUUCUAAUACCGGAUUUUGAUUAUAGGUUAUGGAACCGUUGUGGGAUCUUGUAUUCACAUAUGUUUUAUUAUGAAGGUAAAAUAUUAACAUCUUCACAAUUGGAACGAUUAUAUACACUGCCGAGCGCAGCACUUUUUUUAUGUUUGCAGAUUAGAUCUUGGUGCAAUACUCAUGCAUAUCUUGUGAUAGAUUUAAUUUCUGUAAACGAGCAUCAACUGACCGACUUCGAGAAAUUCUGUGUACAAUCGAUUCCUGUCAAAAAGCCUAUGUCGACCAGUAUUUUUUAAAGAGCAGUAUUCUAAACCUAUUAGAUAUUUGAUGUUCCACAUUCUCAUAGCUGCCUUAUCAUUAAUAGCUAAAAAUUGGUUGAAAACUAAAACCCUUUCUAUAGUCAAAAAAUGUAAAUAACUUUAGUUUGGAAAAACGGCGCCUCAGAGGGGAUAUGAUAACAUUCUACAAAUAUAUUCAGGCUGGUACAAACCAUUAGCUGGAAAUCUAUUCAUAAACGGGGUUAUACAUAGGACACAAUGUCACACAUUUAGGCUGGAAGAAAGGAGAUUUCAUCUAAGGAAAAGGUUUUUUUUUACAAUAAGGAUAUGGAAUUCUCUGCCUGAAGAGGUGGGUUUUAUCAGAGUCCAUAGAGAUGUUUAAACAGCAAUUAUAUAAAUAUUUCGAAAAACAUAACAUACAGGGAUAUAAUUUCUAAUUAGCGGGGUAAUAGCUGCUUGAUUCAAAGAGAUAUCUGACUGCCAUUUUGGGUUCAAGAAGGGAUUUUUCAUUGUUUGAUGCAAAAUUGGAAGUGCUUCAGACUGGGUUUAUUUCCUUAUUUUGGAUCAAUCGCAAAAACAUAUGUGAGGAAGUCUGAACUUGAUGGAAGCAAGUCUCUUUUCAGCUAUGUAACUAUGUAACUAUGUGAUGUUAGAACUCACAAAUUAUAUUUCACAAGUAGGCAGGUAUGAAGUAGCAGCUAGAAAAUCCAUAUCCUCAUACGAUUUUAGUAGGGAGGUUUGGAAAGAAUGGAAUGCUAAAACAAUUAUGAGUAUUUAGUAUUUAGACUUUUGAAUAAGGUAGCAGGAAUACCCCCGGUCGGUCAGCAAAGCUGGUAAUCAAGUAAUAAGUAUUAGCAUGUCAGCUUGAUUUUGGUGUUGUUAUUUGUUGAAUAUUAUUGGAUAAGCCAUGUCGGGUGUGACUUAUAAAAGUGCCUUAUACACAUUCAAGUAAGAAGCCAAGUUGGCGGGGUUUUAGAUUUAUUAAUGUGAUUAAUGUGUUACACGAUUGCCUCUCUUAUAUUAGGCAAAUAAACUUGAACGUUUUGAUACCUUUUGGGUAAAAUAUCACAGUAAUGAAGUCUACAAGUAGUG